GACAGGGGGCUCGAGCGUUAAUCGGAAUCACUGGGCUUAAAGGGUGCGUAGGCGGGUCAGUAAGCGCUUUGUGAAAUCCCAUGGCUCAACCAUGGAACCGCAGGGCGAACUGCUGACCUUGAGGAAGCUAGAGGCUGGUAGAACGAUAGGUGGAGCGGUGGAAUGCGUAGAGAUCUAUCGGAAUGCCGAAAGUGAAGACAGCCAGCUGGGGCUUUCCUGACGCUAAAGCACGAAAGCGUGGGGAGCAAACCGG
rnacentral:rRNA from 1 species